GAUGAACGCUGGCGGCGUGCCUAAUACAUGCAAGUCGAGCGAACAGACGAGGAGCUUGCUCCUCUGACGUUAGCGGCGGACGGGUGAGUAACACGUGGAUAACCUACCUAUAAGACUGGGAUAACUUCGGGAAACCGGAGCUAAUACCGGAUAAUAUAUUGAACCGCAUGGUUCAAUAGUGAAAGACGGUUUUGCUGUCACUUAUAGAUGGAUCCGCGCCGCAUUAGCUAGUUGGUAAGGUAACGGCUUACCAAGGCAACGAUGCGUAGCCGACCUGAGAGGGUGAUCGGCCACACUGGAACUGAGACACGGUCCAGACUCCUACGGGAGGCAGCAGUAGGGAAUCUUCCGCAAUGGGCGAAAGCCUGACGGAGCAACGCCGCGUGAGUAAUGAAGGUCUUCGGAUCGUAAAACUCUGUUAUUAGGGAAGAACAAAUGUGUAAGUAACUAUGCACGUCUUGACGGUACCUAAUCAGAAAGCCACGGCUAACUACGCG
rnacentral:rRNA from 1 species